rnacentral:lncRNA from 1 species
GGUCAGAGUGGAAGGAAAGCGUGUGUGUGUGUGUGUGUGUGUGUGUGUGUGUGCGUGUGUGCGUGUGUGCGUGUGUGUGUGUGUGUGUGUGUGUGUGUGUGUGUGUGUGUGCGAGAAACAAAGGAAGGAAGCAACUAUAGCUGCAGAGAGACACCCGUGUGUCAGAGCAAAGAUAUCUCACCUCACUGGUCUGUCUUGUUGGUCUGCUUCAGUGCGUAGGUUCUGAGGAACACUGUGCGCACUCUCUCCUCCCAUCAGCCGUGCUAUAAACCACUGCUUUGAGGAGGAGGGGUGACAAAAACAGAGAAACUCAGCACUCAGCAGAAGUAAGCCACUUUUCCUAUGAUGUAGUAGACAAAAAUAUUGAAACAAGGAGUUAUUUUAGCAUCCAAAGAGAAGGAGAGUCAAUGAGUGAAGAGCAGAAGAAACAAUGACAAGGUGAGGAGAAGAAGAUCUUCUAUCACAUGAAGUGAAACUUUGAAAGAUGGACCAAAACCAUGUGUGUGAGAUGACUGGCACAGAUCGGAGGAUUUGAGAAGCGAAACGACAGCCGCAACAGAAGUUGGACUCAACACUGACAUGGUUUACGCGCAGCUGACGUUUUCUGACAUGUUUGGAAAGCAAGGCAUCACAUCCCUGCAUCACAUCCAUCCCCUCAUUACCUGGAUCUGCUGCUGCUGCUGCUGUGUUCACACAUGUUGCGUUGACAUCAGGGUUUAACGUUCACUGCCUCCAUGUCUCAGUCACAGAACCCAACCGACACACAGGCCUUGCUGCAGUCGAUGCUGCAGAAACUGAAGCUGCAGCAGGGACGAGAGAACCAACCUGUGUUCAACCCCUACGCAUCAUCAUCAGAGGAGCAACAGCACGAGGAGAGAAGAGCUUCCCCCCCUCUCAACAAGGUAGAGAUCAGUCCUGUCAGUCAUCCUACAAGGAAUGACAGUCCUUUUAAUUUCAGCUUAUCUGCUGUGAGCAAUAGUGUUGGUUUUCAAGAUAGGGACAAAAAUGGGGGUAUCGCUUCCUUUCCCUCCCAGAAACACCUUAGUGAGGAACGGGAGACAUCAUGGCCUGGAAUCACCCCAACAGGAGUCAAACAACUGUUUCCUGCUCAAACCCACAAGGAUGCUGACAUCACUUCCUGUGAAACAACUGAUGCAAAGAGGACGAUUUCAAGCAGUGACGCACUUCCAAACAACCAGUAUUCCAUCUCAAACAAAGGGCCGAGCCUUGACCAGGACCAGCAGUUUACACCCAGAGUGUACAUGUGGUCGCAGAAGAGCUCAGACUCCCACAAAGAGGAGCAGGGGGGCAAAGUGUUGCAAUUUGAUGCAGUUGAUGCACCAAAAUCAUCAAACAACGACAGCAACUUUAGAAAGGAAAAAUCCUCAGAGAGGAAACCAAGAAGGUGGACGUCAAAGAUUAAGGAGAGAUGGAGAUACAGGCAAGGCAGCUUUGGCAAAAAGGGAAAAGAAGAGAGCGACCCAGCCGAGCAGAAGAAUGUACAGAUUACCGAUGUUUCUUUAGAAAAUCCAUUCAACACGCUGCAUGAGGAUGGAGAAGAAACCCUCACUCCCACAGAAAUACCUCCAGCACAGGAAGAAGACUCCACUGUGAACAUCCCUACCAGAUCCACCAGUGACUUUGAAUUUGGCCUCGGCUCAUUCAGCCUGCUUGAGGAGAUCACCAUGGGCCAAAAGUGGGCCGAGUUUAUCAACCCCAACCUGAGGACCACUACCACACAAUCGGAAGAAAGUCAGAGUCGAACCAACACACCCGACAGCACGUGGAGCUUCAGCGGUGCAGAGUCAUCAUCACAAGCUACGGCACAACAAUCACCUGAUGCUUCCUUACCUGUUAGCAUGGAUGUCAGUGAAGGAAAAUGGUUACAACUCAGUUAUCAGAGACAGGCGGAUCAAUCAGAGCCAAUGGACGAUGGUGUGAACCAAUCAUCUCUGAGGCCUGCAGAGAACGGCCUGGACCAACAAUCAAGAUCCUUAACUUCUGUUAAAGCUACAUCUAUGGAUCGUUUGUAUGGCUCAGUGCAGAGAAGUCGCCUCCUGCUAAACAGAAAGAGGCAUCAUCAGUCCCAAACUCAGCAGAUGAGUGAUGGAGAGGAGACAGAUGAGUCUGUGACCAGCAGGCAAGCGAUGGAUGAAUCAGAGCCACAGCAGACUAACUCCCAUCCUGCACCAGAGUCUGCAUCCUCCUCCUCCUCCUACAGUCCUUCAGCAGCUCCAGCUCCUGCCCUCAGAGGUGUCCUCAAACACUCGGAUCGAGGAAGUCAGUCAAAAAGGAGGCGACUGGAGGUGAAUCGUCAUGUUCAUUUUUCUAUGGAGGUGGUGACCAUAGAGUCUCCUGUCCUGGACUACAGUGACUCUGAGGAAGAGGAGGAGGAGGAAGAGGAGGGAGAGGAGGAUGUGGUGACUGAGGAAGCUGAGGUGGAGCAAGGUCCAAUAGAGGACGCAGCCCCUGCCCGUCGACAUGCUCUUCCUCACUGGAUACUGGCUCUGAAGAGGAAGAACACAGGAAAGAAACAUGGAUAGAGACUGUGACCCUGGAAGCUUUGUUUGGCUUCACUGACUUUUUAAAAAAACUUCAUAUCUGUUUGGAUCAUUUUUUUAUAUAAAACCAUUUUGUAGGUUUUAAAACAUCAUAUGGAGCCGUAGUAUGUUUGAAAAAGGAUGAAAAGUCAGACUAGAGACUAUCAGUCUAACAAGGAUUAUCUUUGUGGCUUCACAGUUAGCAUCAUUUUAAAGCUGAAGUCCUAUUUUUCCACUUAGUUUCCCUGUCUUUUUCUCUUUUGAAUGUUUUACCUUUUUUAUUUUAUUUUUUUCAAAAAAAAAAAAAGAAAAAAAAAAGCCUAAGACCCAAACCUUUGUUUUCUGAAAACACAUAGUUCUUCUGCAACCUCAGACACUACAACCUUCACUAGCAGUUGUUUUAAAGCAAGAAAAGUAAAGCUGCUGAGGACGAUAACUAAACUUUUUUUUAAAAAAUUCUAUCUGUAUAUAUCAUGGGAAACGCCAUAAACAAACCAGAACAAAAGUGGCGUCUAGAGAAUCUCUGUCCUCCUUGUCUGGCAAGGAAACACGAGGAAAAAAACUUAUUGAAGAAACUUUUCCACUUCAGCACCAUAUUUGCAUUUUUGAACAGGAUUCCCAAUCCCUUAAUGCAAUGUGUGAAACCUUCCUAAAGUUGAAGUCACAAGUCAAAAACCGACCAAUUGUGAUGGAGUCAAAAACAAUCUAGUGAGCAGCAAUUUCAACCUUCAAAAGAAAUAUCUUUGAUUUAUUGAUGUAUUAUUAUUGAGGCCUACACUUUGGCUGUGUUCAAAAUUGCAUAACGCGCAAGUCUGACAUCAUAAUUAGUUUACAAUGCAUUCACAUUGGAUAGCAUGGACAGAUUAAGUAAAUGAGAAAUACCCAGAUGUAGUUUUUUAACGCUUUUGUAAAAAGGGCUCUUGUUCUGAAGUUAACCAGAGGUUUUAUCUGUAGCAUAAUGGCAGGUCUCCGAAAAUCUCCAAAAUGUCGGCCAUAAAUGUGAUUUAUGUAUUUAUCAAAUGACCACAUUUUGAUAUUCUACUUUCAAUUUCUCACUUUCAAAAGUAGAGAAUCAAGAGAUAUUUAGACUCAGUGUGUUUCAGGUUUCUGUCGUUGUAGGUUAGUAUACUUAGUGUAAAGUAUACUUAGUGGCAACAGUCACCAGUGACAUGCCGUGAGCACUAGCGUUGGGCGUUGCAAAUCGAGACCACUAAUGUCAAUACCAAUGACAAUUCCAUAUGUUUUUGCUGGCAAGUGUUAAUUCAAUUCAACUUAAUUUGUAUAAAGCAAUUUACAACAAUGCGCUAUACAAUCUCAAUGCGCUUAUCAAAGUAUAAAAUUCAUAACAAGAAAGAAAAAACCCAACAAGAUCCACAUGAACAAGCAUUUUGUCAUCUAACAAAAUCAAUAUAGUAAAACAACAUUAAAGAAACAUAAACAAUUAUUUAAUAAAGCCUCCAUACUCUCCCA